GGGAGACGCAGCUGUGGCAGCGCUGGCAGGGCGGUCCAGUCGUGUAACACCGAGACCCCCUCUGCAACCAGCCCGCAGACCCGCUCCUUCAACCUCGUGGGAAUUCAGGAAGCGGCACACGGCUCUGCGAGGAAGCCUUGAUCUUUGUCACUGGAAGGUGUCACACAGGGAGCCUUCAGGAGCGGCCGAGGAGUUGCUCCAGGCAGACCCUGCCAGGAGGGCGAGGGCAAAGCGUGCGGCCCGAGGAGCCCGGCGUUCUUAGGAGAAUGGCGAGUAGCAGAAUUGCUGAUGCAGACAGUUCAAAUCUGUGGUAGAGAGCGCCAGUCCUGGGUAAAGGUGUUGGCAUAAGCAGGAGGUCCAGGCAGAUAGCAGCAGUCAAGGCCCAUUGUGCUAGGGAAUCCCUUCGGAGUACGCAUAGCACCUGUCACCAGCUGGCCAAUGGACUGGGUUUCCUGUGCUUUAUGAGACCUCUGGAAGUAUAGCGGGACUCUGUGAUGAAGCCUAAAAAUUUUGUAUUUCAGGGUCCCAACCUGGUAGCCCAGAGGAGUGGACAAGGAAUUGCGGUGAUGCUGUCGGCCUCCAAGCACGCCUGAAGUGUGUGGCCUGGGCACUCUGAGGAGGAUGGCAGACCAAGAGGUGACAGCUGGAACUUAGCAGGCAGGAAGACGGCCUUCUUCUGCAGCCAACAGGGAUUUACAUCCCCAGAUAUGUGCAAGAUAAGUGGAGUGUUACGACCUACAGAGUGGAUGGAAGCACGGUGCUGGCUUGGGCCUUUCUAGAAGGGUUUUUUUUGUCUGUUUUGGGGAUGGGGAUGUCCAAGAAGCAUUUCCCUAGUCCUCCUAAAGGGAAAAUGUCUGUUUUGGUCUCAGUGCUGAGGUUCACAGGGCAGAGCAGUUCCGGUGUGUGUCCUGUCACUUGUCUCUGGUGCACUCUGUGUUGUUUGGGUCUCUCGGUCCUUUCUUCUCCUCGAGAGCUCUCCCUCCCUGUCACGUCCCCUCGUUUGUCACGUCCCGUCCUGUGUCACGGGUGUCUGCACAUAUUUGUCCCGGCCAUGCUCUGCCCUGCUGCAUAGCCUGGCCAGUCCAUAAGGUGAUGUUCGUCACUAAGGUUUGGCCACAGACCAUCCCCAGGCCAGGGUUUUUUUCAAGGAGGAUUUUUUGGAAGCUCCCGGGAGCCACGUUCCUGAGGAACAAUGAUUUCUGGGGUGUAACGGAGCAGUUGAGAUGAGAGCGAUGGUGAGUUUGUGUGUAACAUGAAGGAGGUGCUCAUGCUAGAUGAGUGUUGUUUUGUGUGUGUAAUCUUUCUUUUGUGUUUCCUCUAACAAUAAAACAAAAUGUAAUUAAACUAGAAAAAAGGAUCAUAUUGUGUUGAUAUGUGUUUGGUUUCCAUUGCCCUGUGUUGUUCUGUAUUUGCAUUUGCUGCUGCAUUUCCAUGUAUUGCUUUGUAUCUAUGCAUGUCUAUGGAUUGUAUCUGUACUUGCAUUUGUAUCUGUUGUUUCCAUGUGUUUUGCUGAAGUGUAAAUAAAAAAA
rnacentral:lncRNA from 1 species